GUGCCAGCAGCCGCGGUAACACGGGGGGAGCAAGCGUUGUUCGGAAUCACUGGGCGUAAAGGGCGUGUAGGCGGUCAGGUAAGUGGGAUGUGAAAUGCCCCGGCUCACCCGGGGACCGGCAUCCCAUACUGCUUGGCUUGAGUACGGGAGAGGAUGUGGGAAUUCCUGGUGUAGCGGUGAAAUGCGUAGAUAUCAGGAGGAACACCGGUGGCGAAGGCGCACAUCUGGCCCGAUACUGACGCUGAGGCGCGAAAGCUAGGGGAGCAAACGGGAUUAGAUACCCCGGUAGUCC
rnacentral:rRNA from 1 species